UGCCCUGUAGCUCAGUGGAAGAGCAGUCGCCUGUUAAGCGAACGGUCGUAGGUUCAAUCCCUACCAGGGCAGCCA
rnacentral:tRNA from 1 species